rnacentral:lncRNA from 1 species
UUAUCUUUUUGUUUCUAUCUUUCUGCAUCCUAAUCAUGCCUUCUAAAAGCCUUGUCCAGAAGACAAUCAUACCUGCGAUCUGAUUGGAUCUUCUUACCUUAUCGGUUUGCGUCUUCUUUCUAACUAAGAGUUAUAAAUCUUUACUUGUUGAUUAUAUUCGGCCGUGAGUAAAGUCUCCUCUUGUCUGGAAGCCAAGUGAUGCGGAUUAGCUGGAACUGAUCAUAAAGAACUGGAUUCUCUUCGCCUUGUUAGGUGGUGAUCCAAGGAAUGUAUCAGAACUGGCGAUCUGAGAACUUAUUCCUCCGAUGGUCGUAGAUCCUAUCCUCAGUCCCGGCGACAAGCAAAAGGCGUCUAGCGGAGAUCGAGAAAGCCAUGGAAGAAAA